AUUGAACGCUGGCGGCAUGCCUUACACAUGCAAGUCGAACGGCAGCACGGGAGCAAUCCUGGUGGCGAGUGGCGAACGGGUGAGUAAUAUAUCGGAACGUGCCCAGUCGUAGGGGAUAACGCAGCGAAAGCUGUGCUAAUACCGCAUACGAUCUAUGGAUGAAAGCGGGGGAUCGCAAGACCUCGCGCGAUUGGAGCGGCCGAUAUCAGAUUAGCUAGUUGGUGAGGUAAAGGCUCACCAAGGCGACGAUCUGUAGCUGGUCUGAGAGGACGACCAGCCACACUGGAACUGAGAGACGGUCCAGACUCCUACGGGAGGCAGCAGUGGGGAAUUUUGGACAAUGGGCGCAAGCCUGAUCCAGCAAUGCCGCGUGCAGGAUGAAGGCCUUCGGGUUGUAAACUGCUUUUGUACGGAACGAAACGGUGAGCUCUAAUACAGUUUGCUAAUGACGGUACCGUAAGAAUAAGCACCGGCUAACUACGUGCCAGCCGCCGCAGUAACAC
rnacentral:rRNA from 1 species